rnacentral:rRNA from 1 species
AUGGACAAUCCGCAGCGAGCACCCUAGAGCAGGGUGACGCCCACAGACUAAGUGAUUGUGGGCAGGACUCGUCCUGCUUAAGAUAUAGUCGGGCCUGCCUGGAAACAGGCGGGGUAUUCGCAGAAUACAAACCGCUCCGUAGGUGAACCUGCGGAGGGAUCAUUA